CGGUAGUUCAGUCGGUUAGAAUACCGGCCUGUCACGCCGGGGGUCGCGGGUUCGAGUCCCGUCCGCUG
rnacentral:tRNA from 1 species